rnacentral:rRNA from 1 species
AGCGAACGCUGGCGGCAGGCUUAACACAUGCAAGUCGAGCGGGCACUUUCGGGUGUCAGCGGCGGACGGGUGAGUAACGCGUGGGAACGUGCCCUCUGGUUCGGAAUAACUCAGGGAAACUUGAGCUAAUACCGGAUACGCCCUUUUGGGGAAAGGCUUGCUGCCGGAGGAUCGGCCUGCGUCUGAUUAGCUAGUUGGUGAGGUAACGGCUCACCAAGGCGACGAUCAGUAGCUGGUCUGAGAGGAUGAUCAGCCACACUGGGACUGAGACACGGCCCAGACCCCGAGGGGAGGCGGCAGGGGGGAAUAUUGGACAAUGGGCGCAAGCCUGAUCCAGCCAUGCCGGGUGAGUGAUGAAGGCCUUAGGGUUGUAAAGCUCUUUUUCCCGGGACGAUAAUGACGGUACCGGAGGAAUAAGCCCCGGCUAACUUCGU